UACAGAGGGUGCAAGCGUUAAUCGGAAUUACUGGGCGUAAAGCGCACGUAGGCGGUUUUUUAAGUCAGAUGUGAAAGCCCCGGGCUCAACCUGGGAAUUGCAUUUGAAACUGGGAAACUAGAGUGUGUGAGAGGGGGGUAGAAUUCCAAGUGUAGCAGUGAAAUGCGUAGAGAUUUGGAGGAAUACCAGUGGCGAAGGCGGCCCCCUGGCACAACACUGACGCUCAGGUGCGAAAGCGUGGGGAGCAAACAGG
rnacentral:rRNA from 1 species